rnacentral:rRNA from 1 species
AGAGUUUGAUCAUGGCUCAGAUUGAACGCUGGCGGCAUGCGUAACACAUGCAAGUCGAACGGUGUUUGGUGCUUGCACCAGACAUAGUGGCGGACGGGUGAGUAAUGCGUAGGAAUCUGUCUUAGAGAGGGGGACAACCCGAGGAAACUUGGGCUAAAACCGCAUAUUCUCGAGAGAGGAAAGCAGGGGGACCGGAAACGGCCUUGUGCUCUAAGGUGAGCCUACGUCGGAUUAGCUAGUUGGUAGGGUAAAAGCCUACCAAGGCGAUGAUCUGUAGCUGGUCUGAGAGGACGGACAGCCACACUGGGACUGAGACACGGUCCAGACUCCUACGGGAGGCAGCAGUGGGGAAUAUUGGACAAUGGGGGGAACCCUGAUCCAGCGAUGCCGCGUGUGUGAAGAAGGCCUGCGGGUUGUAAAGCACUUUCAGUGGGAAAGAGAAGCGUCUUGUGAAUAAUGGGACGUGGAGACGUUACUCACAGAAGAAGCACCGGCUAACUCUGUG